UUUAUGGAGAGUUUGAUCCUGGCUCAGGAUGAACGCUGGCGGCGUGCCUAAUACAUGCAAGUCGAGCGAACGGACGAGAAGCUUGCUUCUCUGAUGUUAGCGGCGGACGGGUGAGUAACACGUGGAUAACCUACCUAUAAGACUGGGAUAACUUCGGGAAACCGGAGCUAAUACCGGAUAAUAUUUUGAACCGCAUGGUUCAAAAGUGAAAGACGGUCUUGCUGUCACUUAUAGAUGGAUCCGCGCUGCAUUAGCUAGUUGGUAAGGUAACGGCUUACCAAGGCAACGAUGCAUAGCCGACCUGAGAGGGUGAUCGGCCACACUGGAACUGAGACACGGUCCAGACUCCUACGGGAGGCAGCAGUAGGGAAUCUUCCGCAAUGGGCGAAAGCCUGACGGAGCAACGCCGCGUGAGUGAUGAAGGUCUUCGGAUCGUAAAACUCUGUUAUUAGGGAAGAACAUAUGUGUAAGUAACUGUGCACAUCUUGACGGUACCUAAUCAGAAAGCCACGGCUAACUACGUGCCAGCAGCCGCGGUAAUACGUAGGUGGCAAGCGUUAUCCGGAAUUAUUGGGCGUAAAGCGCGCGUAGGCGGUUUUAAGUCUGAUGUGAAAGCCCACGGCUCAACCGUGGAGGGUCAUUGGAAACUGGAAAACUUGAGUGCAGAAGAGGAAAGUGGAAUUCCAUGUGUAGCGGUGAAAUGCGCAGAGAUAUGGAGGAACACCAGUGGCGAAGGCGACUUUCUGGUCUGUAACUGACGCUGAUGUGCGAAAGCGUGGGGAUCAAACAGGAUUAGAUACCCUGGUAGUCCACGCCGUAAACGAUGAGUGCUAAGUGUUAGGGGGUUUCCGCCCCUUAGUGCUGCAGCUAACGCAUUAAGCACUCCGCCUGGGGAGUACGACCGCAAGGUUGAAACUCAAAGGAAUUGACGGGGACCCGCACAAGCGGUGGAGCAUGUGGUUUAAUUCGAAGCAACGCGAAGAACCUUACCAAAUCUUGACAUCCUUUGACAACUCUAGAGAUAGAGCCCUCUUCGGGGACAAAGUGACAGGUGGUGCAUGGUUGUCGUCAGCUCGUGUCGUGAGAUGUUGGGUUAAGUCCCGCAACGAGCGCAACCCUUAAGCUUAGUUGCCAUCAUUAAGUUGGGCACUCUAAGUUGACUGCCGGUGACAAACCGGAGGAAGGUGGGGAUGACGUCAAAUCAUCAUGCCCCUUAUGAUUUGGGCUACACACGUGCUACAAUGGACAAUACAAAGGGCAGCGAAACCGCGAGGUCAAGCAAAUCCCAUAAAGUUGUUCUCAGUUCGGAUUGUAGUCUGCAACUCGACUACAUGAAGCUGGAAUCGCUAGUAAUCGUAGAUCAGCAUGCUACGGUGAAUACGUUCCCGGGUCUUGUACACACCGCCCGUCACACCACGAGAGUUUGUAACACCCGAAGCCGGUGGAGUAACCUUUUAGGAGCUAGCCGUCGAAGGUGGGACAAAUGAUUGGGGUGAAGUCGUAACAAGGUAGCCGUAUCGGAAGGUGCGGCUGGAUCACCUCCUUUCU
rnacentral:rRNA from 1 species